ACUACUCAGGGACCGCAUACCAUCUUAAUGCGAAAGUUGGAGCGUUUUUCUUGCCACCCAACCACUCAAAUCGUAUAUUUAAUAUUUUACAACCAACCAAUUCUAUGUAGCGCCCUUUCAAUAUCGGUUUAUAUGUUAUUGGGAAAUUCAUUAAAAGAAAGAAAGAAAAUAUAUAUAUAUAUAUAUAUACACACAAAUAUGUUAUUGGGAAAAAUUCAAUAGGUGAAAACUGUGGGUUUUAUUUAUUAUUAUUAUUAUUUUACAAGAAGCUGAGUUGUUACUUCAUUAUAUGGUUAUAUCACAUAUAUACACACUAAAUUUAUAGUUUGUAUUCAGAAAUUCUCAAACCAGUGACAAAGGGAAAAUGAUGACAAGCGAAAUGACAAAAAGUCGGUGACUGUGAGACUGGAUUUCAAACCAAAAAAAAAAAAAAAGACUCUGAGACUGGAUUAUUUACCCAAAAAAAUAAAAAAGCUGAGAUUGGAUUAUUGACACAAAAGAUAAAUAAAAAAUAAAAAAGACUGUGAGGCUGGAUUAUGGGUAGUGUGGUAAAGGAGAUGAAGAAGUAAACAAAGAGUUAAAAAGGACGGGAAACCUGUCAGACAACCGUGUGACCAUCCCAGCCAGAAGUCCGAGUGGAAAUGAUCUACUGCGUCAGACGGUCCACAGACCAUCCAAGCUGUUAAUCACGCUCUGAUCACACGGUCAUGCUUCAUCCACCAGUUUUGAGGUUCCUGUCUUCUUUGAUCACAAGGAUAGAGACGUACGAGCCUAUAGAACAGAUCCUGUUCUAGUUAGGUCGUAAUCUCGACUGCUCAAUAGAAGGUUUAUAUGUUGUGAUUUGGACAGUUAACUUUUGAUGUGGGAUUUCUCUGAAACCCCAUUCCCAUGGAAAUGUAGGUUACCAAGCCUGGUUGUAGGCCUGACCCACUAUUGCAAGUUGCAACCAAAGCAUCCCAGAACAUACAUUUCAAUGGCUGGUUAUACUGAGACUGAUAAAAGACGUUGAGUUGGAAUUAAGAUCGAUGGUGAUCAAGACGCUUGGUGCUGCUAGAGCAGAGUUGUUUUAUUUCUACCAAGGUUGUCGGUAGCUUACUGGAAGAAAAGUGGUGAUAGUUGUAGAGCUUUCUGUGUAGUUGCAGGUCAACAGAUUCCAAAUGCCCUUCUGAAUUGAUUGAGGAGGAAUUUACUAAGAGCUAUGGUGCAAGAAAAGCAAUAGCCUAAGCAUGGAAUUUGGGCCCAAAAUUGAAGGAGCAUAUGCAGCAUUUUGUUGAUCAUUCAGAAGAGAUCAUUAAGCUGGCUUGUAAUAUCUCAGGAAGGAGUUGAGAUGGAAAACAUUGAAAAUAAAGGAUUUUCAAGCCUGGAGCUUGAUUCAAAGUUCAUCCUAUUAGUGAUAACGCUGUAGUUAACUGGGACCUAUUUUGGUGCUAUCGUUGGUUUUGAUAGUGUUCCUGGUGCAGGUUGAACUUCUGGUGGAGAAAAGAGGAAACCUUGCUUCAAGCGGGAGCAAAUUCGUAUUAUUUUGUUCGGAGUAAUGUCAUCUAAAAUUGAAAUAAUAGUGGGCAUGUAGAAGAGCAAGUUUAACCUGAGCUUUAUCUAAUGGUUCCCAAUUGUUCAUACCAGAAAUGAAUUUUCGUCAAGUUACCUUUGUCUCAUAAUUUUCUGUUUGACAAAUAAAUUGCUUAGCAUGCAAAUGAAGCAUAUUUCUGUUUAAAUACUGAUUUCAUCUUUUUCUCUGUAUCACUUCUUUGAAGAGGCUUUUGGAGACAAUUUCCAAGUCUUGGGAAGGUGGACUGUGGAUAUACCAUGUAUUGUGUUCAUGCUAAAACUGCUUCUGCUACCAUAUAAUUUUUCUCCUCUAAAAUUAUCACUAAGGAAGUUUAGUCGUGCUGUGAAUUUCCUUUUUUAUGUUUCAGGUAAAAA